GGUUGUGUAGUGUAGUGGUCAUCACGUCAGAUUUUGAUCAUUUCUGAGAACCCCAGUUCGAACCCGGGCACGACCU
rnacentral:tRNA from 2 species